AGCGAACGCUGGCGGCAGGCCUAACACAUGCAAGUCGAACGAAGUCUUCGGACUUAGUGGCGGACGGGUGAGUAACACGUGGGAACGUGCCUUUAGGUUCGGAAUAACUCAGGGAAACUUGUGCUAAUACCGAAUGUGCCCUUCGGGGGAAAGAUUUAUCGCCUUUAGAGCGGCCCGCGUCUGAUUAGCUAGUUGGUGAGGUAAAGGCUCACCAAGGCGACGAUCAGUAGCUGGUCUGAGAGGAUGAUCAGCCACAUUGGGACUGGGACACGGCCCAAACUCCUACGGGAGGCAGCAGUGGGGAAUCUUGCGCAAUGGGCGAAAGCCUGACGCAGCCAUGCCGCGUGAAUGAUGGAGGUCUUAGGAUUGUAAAAUUCUUUCACCGGGGACGAUAAUGACGGUACCCGGAGAAGAAGCCCCGGCUAACUUCGUGCCAGCCGCCGCAGUAACAC
rnacentral:rRNA from 1 species